CAAUAGCGUAUAUUAAAGUUGUUGCAGUUAAAAAGCUCGUAGUUGAAUUUUUGCUUGCCGCCGAUGUCGGUACUUCCGUACGUUCGGCGGCGUGCAUCCUUGGGUGGAACCUGUGUGGCAUUAGGUUGUCGUGCAGGGGAUGCUCAUCGUUUACUGUGAAAAAAUUAGAGUGUUCAAAGCAGGCUUACGCCGUUGAAUAUAUUAGCAUGGAAUAAUAAGAUAGGACCUUGGUACUAUUUUGUUGGUUUGCGCACCGAGGUAAUGAUUAACAGGGACAGUUGGGGGUAUUCGUAUUCCAUUGUCAGAGGUGAAAUUCUUGGAUUUCUGGAAGACGAACUACUGCGAAAGCAUUUACCAAGGAUGUUUUCAUUAA
rnacentral:rRNA from 1 species